rnacentral:rRNA from 1 species
UAAGACAGAGGUCCCGAGCGUUAGGCGGAAUCACUGGGCUUAAAGCGUGUGUAGGCGGAUCCGUAAGUACCUUGUGAAAUCCCACGGCUUAACCGUGGAACUGCUUGGUAUACUGCGGGUCUUGAGCCACCUAGGGGCGAGCGGAACAAGUGGUGGAGCGGUGAAAUGCGUAGAUAUCACUUGGAACGCCAAUGGUGAAAACAGCUCGCUGGGGGUGUGCUGACGCUGAGACACGAAAGCCAGGGGAGCAAACGGGAUUAGAUACCCCGGUAGUCCUGGCUGUAAACGAUGUCGACUAGAUCGUAGUGGCUCUGACGCUAUUACGGUCGAAGCAAAAGUGCUAAGUCGACCGCCUGGGAAGUACGGUCGCAAGGCUA